rnacentral:misc_RNA from 1 species
AAGUCGUAACAAGGUAACCGUAGGUGAACCUGCGGUUGGAUCAUUAACAAUGGGUUUUAUACCUAUAACCUGUGUGAACUAUUAAUUUGUAUUUGGUGAGACCGUAUCCAUUGAUUUUAAUUUAAUUGAUGAAUACACUCACCGCCAUUUUUAUUAACCUUUAUUAACUGAGUCUUGAUUUUUAAUUGUAAAAAAUUUAAACAACUUUUGACAACGGAUCUCUUGGCUCUC